CGUCUGUCAAUGAAUGAGGAUGGACAUCAACCAACAUACUUUCGUAUUUUUGCUCACUCUUUUACUUGUAUACAGCGUAGCCUAUAGUUCAUCUGAAAGCGAGUCAACUUUUCACGAAGAAAGUAUUACGGAUAUAGAUGAUGUUAAGAAAUUAUUGGUGCCUGUUGAAUCGACACCGAAGCAGCCGAACAUUGACUCUGUGGAAAACAUUAAGAAAUUAUUGGAGACUGAUAAGUCAAAAAAAUAAUCCUAGCUUGACGCUAGGGAGGUUUAACCUUAUGGGCAUCAUUACCACGACUUCAAAAGUGAAUACAUAUUAAAGCGGAAAAACUGGAGAUGGUGAAAGAUGUUGAUACUUUUUUCGUUUUAUAUCAAGUAAUGUUUUUUUUGUUCAAAACUGCUCGUCAUCCAACAAGGUCAGGAAAAAUAACUAAUAUGUAUUUUGGAACACACGUUUCAUAGAAUAGAAAUGAUUCCCUAAAAGUAGAGAUACUGA